rnacentral:tRNA from 1 species
GAGAGGUCCAGAAGACCUGCUAACUCUUCAAUCUGGCGAACACACCAGCC